rnacentral:rRNA from 1 species
AACGAACGCUGGCGGCAUGCCUAACACAUGCAAGUCGAACGAAACCUUCGGGUCUAGUGGCGCACGGGUGCGUAACGCGUGGGAACCUGCCCUUAGGUUCGGAAUAACUCCCCGAAAGGGGUGCUAAUACCGGCUAAUGUCUUCGGACCAAAGAUUUAUCGCGUUUGGAUGGGCCCGCGUUGGAUUAGCUAGUUGGUAGGGUAAAAUCCUACGACGGCGAGGUUCCAUAGCUGGUCUGAGAGGAUGAGCAGCCACACUGGGAGGGAGACACGGCCCAGACUCCUACGGGAGGCAGCAGUGGGUAAUAUAGGACAGUGGGCGAAAGGAUGAAGCAGCAAGGCCGGGUGAGUGAUGAAGGCCUUAGGGAUGGAAAGUUCGUUUAUCCGGUAUGAUAUUGACAUUACCGGGAGAAUAAGCACCGGCUAACUCCGUG